rnacentral:rRNA from 1 species
GACGAACGCUGGCGGCGUGCUUAACACAUGCAAGUCGAACGAUGAAGCCGGAGCUUGCUCCGGUGGAUUAGUGGUGAACGGGUGAGUAACACGUGAGCAAUCUGCCCUUGACUCUGGGAUAACUGCGGGAAACUGUAGCUAAUACCGGAUACGACACCUUGGGGCAUCCCAGGGUGUGGAAAGAAUUUCGGUCAAGGAUGAGCUCGCGGCCUAUCAGCUAGUUGGUGAGGUAAUGGCUCACCAAGGCGACGACGGGUAGCCGGCCUGAGAGGGUGACCGGCCACACUGGAACUGAGACACGGUCCAGACUCCUACGGGAGGCAGCAGUGGGGAAUAUUGCACAAUGGGCGAAAGCCUGAUGCAGCAACGCCGCGUGAGGGAUGAAGGCCUUCGGGUUGUAAACCUCUUUUAGCAGGGAAGAAGCGAAAGUGACGGUACCUGCAGAAAAAGCACCGGCUAACUACGUGCCAGCAGCCGCUGUAA